GUCCUUUGGAGUGAGAUACGCCGAUUGAUGAUGAUCUUUCAAGGCGGGGAGCGUAGGUGGUGUCACGGCGUAAUGGCGCAAGGGAGUCAAAUUUGAACCGCUGCCGCGUGCGCACUUAAUAUAAACCGCAUACCGUAUCGCAUUUACCUUUUUUUCGAUCCAUCAUUGAAGGAUCCAGUCCUUUGGAGUGAGAUACGCCGAUUGAUGAUUAAGAAUAGAAUAUUCGAGAAAAUUAUAGCAAAAGCGAAUACAUACACAGACCUAACAGUGGAGGUAGCCAGUUGACAUUUGCCUCUGUAUGCGAGUCCAGGAAUAACAAGACA